rnacentral:rRNA from 4 species
UAGAUCUCAAAUCAGGUAGGA